AUGAGAAUCUAACUAACAGUUUCAUCCUGAAACCAUCCCCCCUGCCAUCUGCCAUCCAUGGAAAAAUUGUCUUCCACGAAACUGGUCUCUGGUGCCAAAAAGUUUGGGGACCACUGAUUUAGGACAUCAUUGUUCUGUUGGUGACUAAACAACAUUAAACUCAGUCAAGUGAGCCAGGCAUGGUGGUGCACACCUGUAGCCUCAGGGAGGACCUGUACUUGGGAGGCUGAUGUGAGAGGAUCACUUGAGCUCUGGAGUUUGAGACUAACCUGGGCAACAGAGACCCUGUCUCUAAAAGACAAAAAAAUUCAAUCAUGUGAAUUGCUGCCAAUAAUAACUAAAACUUAAUAAAAAUGUAUUUUGAAAUAAUAUCUACAGGUUACAAGUAAAAAGGACUACAACUUAAGAAUUUGGAAGAGUUGGCUGGGCGCGGUGGCUCACGCUUGUAAUCCCAGAACUUUGGGAGGCCAAGGCAGGCGGAUCAUGAGGUCAGGAGAUCGAGACCAUGGUGAAACCCCGUCUCUGCAAAAAAUACAAAAAAUUAGCUGGGAGUGGUGGCGGGCACCUGUAGUCCCAGCUACUCGGAGAGGCUGAGGCAGGAGAAUGGCGUGAACCCGGGAGGUGGAGCUCACAGUGAGCUGAGAUCGCACCACUGCACUCUGGCCUGGUCGACAGAGUGAGAUUCUGUCUCAAAAAAAAAAAAAAAAGGAAUUUGGAAGAGUUUAGAGACCCUGACAGAAAGAAAGCACAGAAAGACCCCACUCAGAAGGUACCACACCUGGCUGCAUGGCUUUAGACCAGUAAC
rnacentral:lncRNA from 1 species